rnacentral:misc_RNA from 1 species
AAAGUCGUAACAAGGUCUCCGUUGGUGAACCAGCGGAGGGAUCAUUACAGAGUUGCAAAACUCCCCAAACCAUCGCGAACGCUACCCCUACCGUUGCUUCGGCGGGCGUCCCCCCUCGGGGGCGGCUCCCGCCGGCGGCACCCCAAAACUCUGUUUUUACUGUACCUCUCUGAGUUAUACUGUACCAAAUCAGUCAAAACUUUCAACAACGGAUCUCUUGGUUCUG